rnacentral:lncRNA from 1 species
CGGGCCCGGGAGGGGGCGGGGCCUCGGCGGACCCGCUCUACCAAUAGAAAUGCAGAGCCCGCCUCCGCGACUGCAGAGAGACCGUUCCAGGAGGGCGGAGCCUCGCGAUGCCGAGCCCGCCAAAAGAGGAGAGUGCCACGCCCGGGGAAAGCGUCGACGCCAUCGCUUCAGAGUGAGGGCUUGGGCUUGGCAGCAUUCUGCGGAUUCCUGGGCCCUGCCCUCUCCGCACUGCGUUUGACGGAGGCAAGCCCAGAGGACGUCUUUCGGACAGUACUCUUGCAAGUAAGCACCUUCUUUCCUCCGGAGGUCUGUGGACCAAACCCGGCACAUAAUUGGCUGAUCCUGGUCGUGUGAUCGGUCUGCUCUGAGCUGAUCUUCCAAAGGACCAGAAUUCGAGCUCCAGCCGACAUAGGACAACUCAACCAGCAGUUAGUCACUUCAAAGAAUCCAAGUCCUUUUCUGGCCUCGGAGGGCACUAGGUAUACGUGUGGUGCUCUAUCAUAAAUGCAGGCAAGCCACCUAUAUGCAUAAAGACUAUAAACAAACAAUAAGAAAGGCAGUGAAGAGAGAUAAGAAAAUGGCCUCCAGUGAUAAGCAGGGUGAUAACAUCCUAUUCCAUCCAGACUUUCUGCUUUCCCAGUAGAUCACGAGCACUGGUCGUACUCCAGACCAAAGCACUACAUAAGCAAACAUUCAAUAUUUGGGAUUCUUCCGCACAAUUUACAACCUAAUGAUGGGAGGCACGAAUGCUCGCACACCUAGAAGAAUGUUCGACCACCUAGAAGAAAACAAUUUGAUAGUGAAAUGAAGGGAGGGCCUUUCAAUAGUUUCUUUCUAGGCUACACUUCAGUGGAAUGUCUACUUUGUCUAUCAGUGCCCUCGCUACAGUAAAAAGAAGUUCACUGUGACCACAGAAUCAACUGACGAGGACUCACGGGAGUCUCAGAGAUCAAGGGGCCUGUAGGGGUCUGACCUAGGUUCUAGGUGCACCGGGCUUCCGGGGUGCAGUUUUACCAGCAGAGGACACAGUCAACUUCCUGCCUUGACUUUCCUUGAUGGGACUGUAACCUGAAACGAGGACAACCUGAGACUUGAUGAUGGCUGAGCACACACUGUACACAGGAGGAAAAGGUGUUUUUAAUGCAAUUUAUUUGAAAUGCUUCCAGAAAAGUUUAAGGCCAUUAUACAAAAGUAUUGGCUGACAGACCUUGACUCACUGGCCACCGUGGCCAGCGGCUCUACAGAGAACAGUUGAAGCUUUCUCCAUCAUCCAGUGUCCUGUCUCAGCUUUCCACUGUGUCUGCCUGGAGCAGGUCUUCCAGCGUGAGGUCCUUCACAGGGAUGGGCUGUCGGUACAACUGAUAGCAGAGCUGCUCGUUGUGAGUGACAGCUCGGGUGAUCACCAGCACUUCUUGGAACAGGAAAACAUGGAGUUUCUAGAAGAAAAGAGCCCACAGGAUUGUCCUGAGCAACCAUCUAAGUGGUACGUCUAACCGGAGAGGCCUCCAGCCUUAGCUGGUGUAUGAGAAGGGACCAGGCCACCUCUGCGGAGCAAGGCUUCUUCCUGAGUCUCAGGACUUCCUAGAAGGAACUUUCAAGGAACCCAGUGCCACAUCAGCUCUCCAUGACAACACAGGACCCUUGAGCUGUCAAUCAGAGAAUCUUUCUGGCCUUCUUCCAGAUAAGGUCUCACUCUGGAGCGUCUAAUCUGGAAUUAAAGCAAACAGAUGUGCCAUGGUCAGAAGAUAUCAUUUUGCUGCCGGUUAACCCAUCAUCUGACUCUUCGAUCCUUUCUUUUCCUUAUAUGAUGUUCACUGACCGUCGAGUAGGUGAAAUAGACUGGAAUCUCUGGAAACAAGAAAGUCUAUCAUAAAAAAAAUCAUGAAUGAAUCUGGAUUUUUACUUUCAUGUACCCUGUCUCUCUCUCGUCAGAAUUAAAAAGGAACCAGAACCUAAAUUGGCAGGAGCACCCACUUUCUGCCUUGGAGAGCUUAUAAAUUAUUUUAUUCCUGAGGCCAGUCACUUGGGACAUUGUUUCUUUGCGACAUGGGAUGCUUGCUCAAAUAGGCUGACCUGCUUGAAGGGAAGGAUGCUCUUCAAGCUUCCAGUCCCCAUUUUAGGCCUGGAGGGUCCAGACAGCAACUGACUGGCAUGGUCACACUUCCUCUGGAUAUGUACAGGACACAACUGCUAAAGCCUUUCCCAGACCAAACUAACCCCAUAACACUAGAGACAAAAGUAUAUUUCAGGAAAAAAAGUGAGGCUAAAUCUUCAAGCUUGAGGCUGAAACACUGUCACAAUCUGCACACAUUGCUUAAAGAGGCACCACCAUUCUACAUUACUGUGUCAUAAAAAACAGAGCAGGAGCCCUGCUAACUCUGAAGGAAGUCCACAGUCUGAGGAAGUUUAAAAACACAUUGAACCACUUCUGACUCCAGUUGACCCACUCUCUUUAGAGGAAGGUCUUUGUGGGUUGAAGAAGUUUAGAGCAAUACCAUGACUUAGAACGCAAAGUCAAAAGUUCGUGAUGAAUGAUCUCUCCUGAAAUAUUAAAGCGUGUUUCAUCUAAAUUAUUCAGCUGAGAACAUUACUUGUCCCGCAGAUAUUCUUGAGAUAUUUCCGCCUUGGUACUAAAAUUGACUUCUGAACUAAAGCCAAGUCAUAGAACCCUUCGAAGGUUCCAGAUCUUGGCAGUAACUGAGAGGCAUCAGGUCAGACACCAAUGUUAAGAAUUUUGGGCACAUUCAUGUAAUGUCAGUGAGAACCAGAAGGUUUUAGGAAGGUGAGGAACAAGUUUACCUGGAAAGAGAAUACCAGUAUAUUAAUAAUACCUAAAACCCCUCUCUAUCAGUACACUCCCUGCCCAUUGUCCUGGAAUACUAGCCCCAUCAGAGGGAUGGAGAGACCUAAUUCUGCCUAGAAGAAGUCAUUAAAGUUGUCUGCUUUCAUUACCUGCUUCAUAACAAAUAAAAAUAUCUAGAAUUGUGUAGGGCUGUGAAAGGCAGCCUGAUUCCUGGUUGACUAAGGCUAGAAACACUGGUAACCCUAAAGGGGUGGUAGAUAUUUCCCUGUUCCCAGAGAAUCAGGCUCCUGGCACAAGGCGGCAGGCCUCCACAGAUUUGU